rnacentral:lncRNA from 1 species
CUAAUUUUACUGAACCAAAAUCCAAAUUUAUAGAAAACUCAGAUCCCAAAUCUGUCACAGACCCACCCUCCCGUGGCCACCACCUUCUGCCGCCUAAAUCCCCCUCUUCACGACCGUCGCCGCCUCCUCGCCAUCUAUAUCCUUGCACCCUCCUCGAAGAAUAGAUCUAAUAGUACAAAAAAAAAAUAACUUACUUUACUUGCUUCUUUCUUUUCAACCCACAAUGAAUUAUCUGAGCCUUCUACUCUCAAAUCUCUCUAACU